GCCGCAAAUUCAUGCAACAAUCUUUUAUUAAAGGAUGAAUUGAAUUUUUUUCCUGUUAUAGUUAGUCAUUGCGCUCGAUUUUUACAUUAUAUUGAUUUUUUCCUAUUUAGUUAAACAUGCUAACAAUAGACAGCCUGUUCUUGAGCUUUAGCCCAAUGCAAAGAUGACAUAUAUUCAAUGACUGCUAGGCAAAUUUGAAAUGAUAUUUUUAACCUCGCAACGAUUUUACAUAUAGCUGAGGAAACCGGGCUUCUGCUCAUUUCACUUCACGGGCAGCACGGAGACUUUUACUGAAGACGGAAAGAAAGUACAACGAAAUAUGGUGAUGAAAGGCUUAUUGAUGAUCUGUUUGUUUCUCGUGGUCUUUGAAUUUUCGCGGGGAAAUAUGAUGUCAGGACAAAUAACUGAGUGCGAAACACAUGGUGGAUUUUGUAUACCUUUCUAUCAAAAUAGUCCAACCUGCGCAGACUAUGGCGCAUUGCCCUACGCAUACUCGUGUCUUUUAGGAGCAAACUGUUGCCGCUAAGACUGAAACUAAGAUGUGGGACAUGCAGGUACACUAAACUUUGUGUUGUGAGUUUGUUUUCAAGUUGAAAGUAGUUACAGAACAAUGGACGAAUGUCAUAUAUAGCUAUAUAUAUAUGCACUAUUUAUGGUGUUCUGAAAUUGUAGAACUAGAUUAGCUGGAACUUUAAUAAAAAUAACGGGUGCAACUAUAAAUAAGUGUAUGC
rnacentral:lncRNA from 1 species